AGAGUUUGAUCCUGGCUCAGAUUGAACGCUGGCGGCAUGCCUUACACAUGCAAGUCGAACGGUAACAGGUCUUUCGGGAUGCUGACGAGUGGCGAACGGGUGAGUAAUACAUCGGAACGUGCCCAGUAAUGGGGGAUAGCUCGGCGAAAGCCGGAUUAAUACCGCAUACGAUCUACGGAUGAAAGUGGGGGAUCGCAAGACCUCAUGCUCCUGGAGCGGCCGAUAUCUGAUUAGCUAGUUGGUGGGGUAAAGGCCUACCAAGGCAUCGAUCAGUAGCUGGUCUGAGAGGACGACCAGCCACACUGGAACUGAGACACGGUCCAGACUCCUACGGGAGGCAGCAGUGGGGAAUUUUGGACAAUGGGGGCAACCCUGAUCCAGCAAUGCCGCGUGUGUGAAGAAGGCCUUCGGGUUGUAAAGCACUUUUGGCGGGAACGAAACGGUUCGGGCUAAUAUCCUGAACUAAUGACGGUACCCGCAGAAUAAGCACCGGCUAACUACGUGCCAGCAGCCGCGGUAAUACGUAGGGUGCAAGCGUUAAUCGGAAUUACUGGGCGUAAAGCGUGCGCAGGCGGUUUGGUAAGACAGAUGUGAAAUCCCCGGGCUUAACCUGGGAAUUGCAUUUGUGACUGCCCGGCUAGAGUGUGUCAGAGGGGGGUAGAAUUCCACGUGUAGCAGUGAAAUGCGUAGAUAUGUGGAGGAAUACCGAUGGCGAAGGCAGCCCCCCUGGGAUAACACUGACGCUCAUGCACGAAAGCGU
rnacentral:rRNA from 1 species